AUUAAUUAAUUAUAUUAUGAGAUUUUUAUUGAUAAACAAAUUAAAUAGUGACAAUUGUAAGGUUAUGAUAUGGUACAAAUGUAUUAAUUGUACUUGUUAUUAAAAUAAAUAUUUAGAAUAAAAUAUAUAAUAAUUAACAAAACAUAAAGUAAAUUAAAAGGAAAUAAAAACAAAGCAAAAGAAAAGAAACAGAAUAGAAAGAACAAAGAAACAGAGAAGCAAACGAAACAGGGGAAAGAAAGAAGAAAAAGAAAGAAAAAGGGAAAAUAGGGUUUUUAAAGCUUGGAAUUAAUUUGCUAAUAUCGC
rnacentral:lncRNA from 1 species